AUUGAACGCUGGCGGCAGGCCUAACACAUGCAAGUCGAGCGGAUGACGGGAGCUUGCUCCUUGAUUCAGCGGCGGACGGGUGAGUAAUGCCUAGGAAUCUGCCUGGUAGUGGGGGACAACGUUUCGAAAGGAACGCUAAUACCGCAUACGUCCUACGGGAGAAAGCAGGGGACCUUCGGGCCUUGCGCUAUCAGAUGAGCCUAGGUCGGAUUAGCUAGUUGGUGAGGUAAUGGCUCACCAAGGCGACGAUCCGUAACUGGUCUGAGAGGAUGAGCAGUCACACUGGAACGGAGAAACGGUCCAGACUCCUACGGGAGGCAGCAGUGGGGAAUAUUGGACAAUGGGCGAAAGCCUGAUCCAGCCAUGCCGCGUGCGUGAAGAAGGUCUUCGGAUUGUAAAGCACUUUAAGUUAGGAGGAAGGGCAGUAAGUUAAUACCUUGCUGUUUUGACGUUACCGACAGAAUAAGCACCGGCUAACUCUGUGCCAGCCGCCGCAGUAACAC
rnacentral:rRNA from 1 species